GGGCAGCUUACCAUGCAGUCGAGCGGUAACAGGGGGUGCUUGCACCCCGCUGACGAGCGGCGGACGGGUGAGUAAUGCAUAGGAAUCUGCCCAGUAGUGGGGGAUAGCCCGGGGAAACCCGGAUUAAUACCGCAUACGCCCUUUGGGGGAAAGCAGGGGAUCUUCGGACCUUGCGCUAUUGGAUGAGCCUAUGUCGGAUUAGCUAGUUGGUGGGGUAAAGGCCUACCAAGGCGACGAUCCGUAGCUGGUCUGAGAGGAUGAUCAGCCACAUCGGGACUGAGACACGGCCCGAACUCCUACGGGAGGCAGCAGUGGGGAAUAUUGGACAAUGGGGGCAACCCUGAUCCAGCCAUGCCGCGUGUGUGAAGAAGGCUUUCGGGUUGUAAAGCACUUUCAGUGAGGAGGAAAACCUUCUGGUUAAUACCCAUGAGGCUUGACGUUACUCACAGAAGAAGCACCGGCUAACUCCGUGCCAGCAGCCGCGGUAAUACGGAGGGUGCAAGCGUUAAUCGGAAUUACUGGGCGUAAAGCGCGCGUAGGUGGUUUGAUAAGCGAGAUGUGAAAGCCCCGGGCUUAACCUGGGAACGGCAUUUCGAACUGUCAGGCUAGA
rnacentral:rRNA from 1 species